rnacentral:lncRNA from 1 species
CAAGGGAAGUUGACAAACAUGAUCUACGAUGAUUGUAUCCAGCAUCUGGUAAUCAGAGUUGUGAGAAAGCAACAUACAGACAUUUAGAAGAUGCAGCUUUUCAGGACAAUCAUCCUCAACCUGAUCCUUCAGGUCUUCCAACAAUGCACCUAUCAACAUUGUAACUGAGUCCACCCAGUUGAUGCUGUUUGUCAUCUUCUUUUCUUUU